GAUCAUGGCUCAGGACGAACGCUGGCGGCGUGCCUAACACAUGCAAGUCGAGCGGAGACAGUGAGUAGCUUGCUAUGAGCUGUUUUUAGCGGCGGACGGGUGAGUAACGCGUGAGCAACCUUUCCCAGACAGGGGAAUAACACACCGAAAGGUGUACUAAUACCGCAUAAGACCACGGGAUCACAUGGUUCUGGGGUAAAAGAUUUAUCGGGUUUGGGGUGGGCUCGCGUCCGAUUAGGUAGUUGGUGAGGUAACCGG
rnacentral:rRNA from 1 species